UAAGACGAACCGUGCGAACGUUAUUCGGAAUCACUGGGCUUAAAGCGCGUGUAGGCGGAUACGCACGUCUGUCGCUGAAAUCCCCCGGCUCAACCGGGGAACGGGCGUGGAUACGGCGUGUCUGGAGGGGCGUAGGGGGACCUGGAACUUCCGGUGGAGCGGUGAAAUGCGUUGAGAUCGGAAGGAACGCCCGUGGCGAAAGCGAGGUCCUGGACGCCUACUGACGCUGAGACGCGAAAGCCAGGGGAGCGAACGGGAUUAGAUACCCCGGUAGUCCUGGCCGUAAACGAUGGGCACUGGGUAGGGGGCUCGCCGAUGGGCUCCCUGCCGUAGGGAAACCGUGAAGUGCCCCGCCUGGGGAGUAUGGUCGCAAGGCUGAAACUCAAAUGAAUUGACGG
rnacentral:rRNA from 1 species